rnacentral:ncRNA from 2 species
AUGAUCAGUAUUAGAGAGAAUGGUAGUUAUACUUAAUAUAACUUAACUUUAGUCCAUCGCCGAAGGUGCAAGUUUUUACGAAACUCUCAGGCAAAAGGAUAAUACUGUAACG